rnacentral:rRNA from 1 species
GUGCCAGCAGCCGCGGUAAUACCGGUGGCUCGAGUGGUGGCCGCUAUUAUUGGGUCUAAAGGGUCCGUAGCCGGCCUGAUAAGUUACCUGGGAAAUCCGGUGGCCUAACCAUCGGGCGGCCAGGUAAUACUAUCAGGCUCGGGACUAGGAGAGACCAGAGGUACUCAUGAGGUAGGAGUGAAAUCCUGUAAUCUUAUGAGGACCACCAGUGGUGAAGACGUCUGGUUAGAAUAGGUCCGACGGUGAGGGACGAAGGCUGGGGGCGCAAACCGGAUUAGAUACCCGGGUAGUCCCAGCAGUAAACGAUGCCAGCUAUGUGUUGCUGGAACCAUGGGUUCCAGCAGUGCCGAAGGGAAGCCGUGAAGCUGGCCACCUGGGAAGUACGGUCGCAAGGCUGAAACUUAAAGGAAUUGGCGGGGGAGUACCACAACCGGUGGAGCCUGCGGUUUAAUUGGAUAGAACGCCGGGAAUCUUACCGGAGGGGACAGCAGUAUGAAGGCCAGGCUAAAGACCUUGCCAGAUCAGCUGAGAGGAGGUGCAUGGCCGUCGCCAGUUCGUACCGUGAGGCAUCCUGUUUAGUCAGGCAACGAUCGAGACCCGCAGUCUUAUUUGCCAGCAUGCCCUUUGGGGUGUAUGGGUA